rnacentral:lncRNA from 1 species
CCGUUCACAAGUAGGUGCAAGGCCAUCAUUGGGUUCCUCACCUAAUAGUUAUUGGGGCCAACCCCAUUUUUACUCUGGAGCAACUCUUUGCUAAUAGAGUAGUCGCGUAUUUUCGAUGUAACUGAACCACUAUGACUAGUCGAGAACAAUCAACGUCGGUAACACGCUCACGUAUCUACAAUGAUGGAAGACCUAUGGACUUAAUAUUUGUGGGGAGGUUUGGAUUUAGGUCUCAUCUAAUCAGUCAUCAUAUGACUGAUCU